rnacentral:rRNA from 1 species
AGCAGCCGCGGUAAUUCCAGCUCCAAUAGCGUAUAUUAAAGUUGUUGCAGUUAAAAAGCUCGUAGUUGAAUUUCGGGAUCAAUAUGUUGGUCGUGCCUUGGUACGUACUGGCAUUAUCGAUUCCUACCUUCUGAAGAACCUCGAUGUCAUUAAUUUGGUGUCUUGGGGAAUCAGGACUGUUACUUUGAAAAAAUUAGAGUGUUUAAAGCAGGCUCGCGCUUGAAUACAUUAGCAUGGAAUAAUGAAAUAGGACGUUUGAUUCUAUUUUGUUGGUUUCUAGGAUCGACGUAAUGAUUAAUAGGGAUAGUUGGGGGCAUUAGUAUUCAAUUGUCAGAGGUGAAAUUCUUGGAUUUAUUGAAGACUAACUACUGCGAAAGCAUUUGCCAAGGAUGUUUUCAUUAAUCAAGAACGAAAGUUAGGGGAUCGAAGACGAUCAGAUACCGUCGUAGUCUUAACCAUAAACUAUGCCGACUAGGGAUCGGAUGAUGUAAUUUUUAAUGACUCAUUCGGCG